rnacentral:misc_RNA from 1 species
CAACCCUCAAGCACUGCUUGGUAUUGGGCCCCGCUGGUUUCAGCGGGCCUUAAAAUCAGUGGCAGCGCCAUCUGAGCUCUGAGCGUAGUAAACAUCCUCGCUAUAGAGACCAGGUGGUUCUUGUCAUCAACCCCCAGCUUUCUAA